AUAGCCAUGCGGGUUGUAUGGGAUGCCUAAUAAUCCCAUGGCAAACUGCUUAUUAACACAUGAUCAACUUACCCUAUGGAGAAAAAUAACCUCGGGAAAGUAUCAUAGUGAUUUAAUGAAAAAAAUUGAAAGAUUAUGGUACCCCGAAACUGAGGAUAAUGUUUCAUAGUUGGAUAGGCUUGGAAAAGUUUUUCAAUGAAAUGGAUAAAAAAAAUGGUUUUUAUCUGCCAUAGGAUAGGAUCGUGGUCGAUUAUGGUUGUUGGUGAGGUAACGGCUCACCAAGCCGAUAAUCGAUAGGGGCCGUGAGAGCGGGAGCCCCAAGAUGGGUACUGAGACAACGACCCAGGCCUUACGAGGCGCAGCAGGCGCGAAACCUCCGCAAUACACGAAAGUGUGACGGGGUUACCCAAAGUGUUCUUUUAGAACUGUGGUAGGUGAGUAAUAUUCCCUACUAGAAAGGAGAGGGCAAGGCUGGUGCCAGCCGCCGCGGUAAAACCAGCUCUUCAAGUGGUCGGGAUAAUUAUUGGGCUUAAAGAGUCCGUAGCCGGUUUAGUAAGUUCCUGGUAAAAUCGGGUAGCUUAACUAUCCGCAUGCUAGGAAUACUGCUAUACUAGAGGGCGGGAGAGGUCUGAGGUACUACAGGGGUAGGGGUGAAAUCUUAUAAUCCUUGUAGGACCACCAGUGGCGAAGGCGUCAGACUGGAACGCGCCUGACGGUGAGGGACGAAAGCCAGGGGAGCGAACCGGGAUUAGAUACGCGGUGCUAGGUAGAAAUAAUAAUAAUUUAACACCACGCUAAAAACCCCGGGUAGUCUGCGUAACGAUG
rnacentral:rRNA from 1 species